rnacentral:rRNA from 1 species
UAGCGGCGGACGGGUGAGUAAUGCUUAGGAAUCUGCCUAUUAGUGGGGGACAACAUUCCGAAAGGAAUGCUAAUACCGCAUACGCCCUACGGGGGAAAGCAGGGGAUCUUCGGACCUUGCGCUAAUAGAUGAGCCUAAGUCAGAUUAGCUAGUUGGUGGGGUAAAGGCCUACCAAGGCGACGAUCUGUAGCGGGUCUGAGAGGAUGAUCCGCCACACUGGGACUGAGACACGGCCCAGACUCCUACGGGAGGCAGCAGUGGGGAAUAUUGGACAAUGGGCGNAAGCCUGAUCCAGCCAUGCCGCGUGUGUGAAGAAGGCCUUUUGGUUGUAAAGCACUUUAAGCGAGGAGGAGGCUACNNAGAUUAAUACUCUNGGAUAGUGGACGUUACUCGCAGAAUAAGCACCGGCUAACUCUGUGCCAGCAGCCGCGGUAAUACAGAGGGUGCGAGCGUUAAUCGGAUUUACUGGGCGUAAAGCGUGCGUAGGCGGCUUUUUAAGUCGGAUGUGAAAUCCCUGAGCUUAACUUAGGAAUUGCAUUCGAUACUGGGAAGCUAGAGUAUGGGAGAGGAUGGUAGAAUUCCAGGUGUAGCGGUGAAAUGCGUAGAGAUCUGGAGGAAUACCGAUGGCGAAGGCAGCCAUCUGGCCUAAUACUGACGCUGA